GAACUGUAAGUUAUUAAAUAUAUUUGUGAAAUAUCGUUCUUCUUUUUUAAAUAUAGAAUCUUGAGAGCAAAAUGAUCGAAUUUCUGAAGAAAGAAAUGCAAACGUUUAGGAAAAUCUUACAAGAAGAAAACAGACAAGAGUUUGUGAAGGACUUUAAUGAGAACAGAAGCAUUAUCACAGAAGCAGCUCUUGAUCUCACACUCUUCUUCCUGAAAGAGAUGAAGCAAGAUCAAGCUGCUGAUACCCUUGAGGGUAAGCGAAUCAUAGGUAUCUGUCAGACUGACACAUACAAAUAUAGCUGGAAAAGUCAAGACUAAAUCUCUCUGUUUCUUUGCUCCUGUGUUUAGAUGAGCUGUUCUUCAUUAAUCAGCUUAAAUGUAGCCUGAAGAAGAAAUAUCAAAGUGUGUUUGAAGGAAUUGCUCAGCAAGGAGACUCCACACUUCUGAAUAAGAUCUACACAGAUCUCUAUAUCACUCAGGGUGCGAGUGAACAGGUCAACACUGAACAUGAGAUCAGACAGAUUGAAGCUGCUUCCAGACGUCAUCAGCCACUAGAGAUACAGGUUAAAUGCAAACAUUUGUUUGAAGCAGCUGAACAAGACGAGCAGAUCAGAACUGUCCUGACAAAAGGAGUUGCUGGCAUCGGGAAAUCAGUCUCUGUGCAAAAGUUUGUUCUGGAUUGGGCUGAAGGGAAAGAAAAUCAAAACAUGAGCUUCAUAUUUCCUCUUCCAUUCAGAGAGAUGAACUUAAAGGAGAAAGAAAGACAAAGUUUAAAAGACCUCAUAACUCAGUUUUUCCCAGAGACUAAAGGACUGAACCUUACAAGAAGCACACGAUUCAAAGUCCUGUUCAUCCUUGAUGGAUUGGAUGAAUGUCGUCUUCCUCUGAACUUUGCUGGUAAUGAGACGUGUCGUGAUGUAUCUUCAGCAGUCUCUCUGGAUGUUCUCCUGACGAACCUCAUCAAGGGAAAUCUGCUUCCUUCUGCUCUCAUCUGGAUCACCAGCAGACCAGCAGCUGCCAGUAAGAUUCCUGCUGACUGUAUCGACCGGCUGACAGAGAUACGAGGAUUCAAUGAUGCCCAAAAGGAGGAGUACUUCAGAAAGAGACUCACAGAUCAGAAUCAGGCCGGAGAAAUCAUUGAUCACAUUAAACAGUCAAAGAGUCUCUUUAUUAUGUGCCACAUCCCAGUCUUCUGCUGGAUUUCAGCCACUGUUCUCCAGAACAUACUGAAACUGAAACACAGGGCUCAUGCUGAAACACUGCAGGAAUCUCCCAAGACUCUGACACAGAUGUACACACACUUUCUCCGCUUUCAGAUCCAGCAGAGCAGAAGAAAGUAUGAUGGGGAAAACACAGCAGAUGUCUCCUGGGAUCCAAAGCUCAUCCUUUCACUGGGGAAACUGGCCUUCCAGCAGCUGGACAGAAACAAUGUGAUCUUCUAUGAGAGCGAUCUGAAAGACUGUGGCAUUGACGUCUAUAAGGCAUCGGUGUACUCAGGCAUGUGUACCCAGAUCUUUAAGGAGGAGACGGGAAUCAUUUUUGGUACCAUGUACUGCUUUCUUCACUUGAGCAUUCAGGAGUUCAUUGCAGCCCUUUAUCAACAUCUGAUUCUAGACAGAGACAAGACACAAGCAGAAAACAGCAGAGAUAAGUCCAUGAUUGAUUUGCUGAAGGCUGCAGUGGACAAGGCUCUGGAAAGUGAGAAUGGACAUCUGGACCUUUACCUUCGCUUCCUUCUCGGUCUGUCACUCCAGUCCAGUCGACAACUCUUACGAGGCCUGUUGACACAGCAGGAUGACAGAGACCAGAGCAAAGAGGAAAUAAUUGCCUACAUCAAGCAGAAACUUGAAGGGAAUCUGUCUCCAGAGAGAUCCAUCAAUCUGUUCUACUGUCUGAAUGAACUGAACGACCAAACUCUGCUGAAAGAGAUUCAGUCUCAACUUAGUAGUCGACGUCUGUCUCCUUACCUUUCACCUGCCCAGUGGUCUGCUCUGGUCUUUGUGUUGUUGACCUCAGAGGAGGAGCUGGAGGAGUUUGAGCUUCAGAAAUUCCAGAGAUCAGACGAGUGUCUCAUCAGACUAUCAGCAGUCAUCAAAACCUCCAAAAGAGCUCUGCUACAGAGCUGUAAACUCACUGUUCAGUGCUGUGAGAGUUUAUCUUCAGCUCUACAAUCCUCAAACUGUGUGCUGAGAGAGCUGGACCUGAGUAACAAUGACCUGCAGGAUUCAGGAGUGAAGAAGCUCUCUGAUGGACUGAAGAGUCAACACUGUAAACUGGACACACUGAGGUCUGAGUUCAAACAUCUGAUUGAUUGA
ensembl:lincRNA